GGUUAUAUGCCUUUAUUGUCACGUUUUAUUUUUUUGUUGAGGGUGGGUAGCAAUACUGAUUCGUCAGCGAAUAAAUUGACAAGCCCGAACAAUUGUUCGGGCUUUUUUUUGG
rnacentral:sRNA from 1 species